AGCUGGGUUCAGAACGUCGUGAGACAGUUCGGUCCCUAUCCGUCGUGGGCGUAGGAAAUUUGAGAGGAGCUGUCCUUAGUACGAGAGGACCGGGAUGGACAUACCUCUGGUGUACCAGUUGUCGUGCCAACGGCAUAGCUGGGUAGCUAUGUGUGGACGGGAUAAGUGCUGAAAGCAUCUAAGCAUGAAGCCCCCCUCAAGAUGAGAUUUCCCAACUUCGGUUAUAAGAUCCCUCAAAGAUGAUGAGGUUAAUAGGUUCGAGGUGGAAGCAUGGUGACAUGUGGAGCUGACGAAUACUAAUCGAUCGAAGACUUAAUCAA
rnacentral:rRNA from 1 species